AUUGAACGCUGGCGGCAGGCCUAACACAUGCAAGUCGAACGAGUGGCGGACGGGCGAGUAAUGUAUGGGAAACUGCCCGAUGGAGGGGGAUAACUACUGGAAACGGUAGCUAAUACCGCAUACCAUCGGAUGUGCCCAGAUGGGAUUAGCUAGUAGGUGGGGUAACGGCUCACCUAGGCGACGAUCUCUAGCUGGUCUGAGAGGAUGACCAGCAACACUGGAACUGAGACACGGUCCAGACUCCUACGGGAGGCAGCAGUGGGGAAUAUUGCACAAUGGGCGCAAGCCUGAUGCAGCCAGGCCGCGUGGAUGAAGAAGGCCUGCGGGUUGUAAAGUACUUUCAGCGGGGAGGCGUUACCCGCAGAAGAAGCACCGGCUAACUCCGUGCCAGCAGCCGCGGUAAUAC
rnacentral:rRNA from 1 species